rnacentral:ncRNA from 1 species
GGUCAUGAGCGCCAGCGUCAAGCCCCGGCUUGCUGGCCGGCAACCCUUCGUCCGCGAUGGGGUGCCCCGGGUGAGGACCUGGCCGGACGCACCACCGCGUCCCGGCAAGCGCGGACC